AAAAUAGUAAACGGGUAAAAUUUCUGUAUUGUUGUUUUGUGAUCUGUAUUAUCGAACUUAUUAGGCUAUUUAUAUCAGACAUGUAUAUCCUAUGUUUUCUAUUGAUAGUAAAUUAAAUAUAUAUAUAUAGCUCUAAAAACUAAGUGGGGAUUUUGUGUGUGUUCCUCACAGCUAUUAUAUCAGGUACUUGCAGCUGCUUAAAAUGAAGAUCUUUGUUCUGCUACUUGUUGUGAGUCUCUCAAAUUUUAUUGACGUAACUAACAGCUGCUGUAAAACAUCAAAUUUUGCUUGCUUUGGAAAUUGGGAAUGUUGUGAAGGCUUUCACUGCGUACAUCAUGGAAUAGCACUGGCAGCUGAGUGCCACCCUUUAAAUGAGAACACCGGCUAAAUGACGCUUCAAUAUUUAAGUAAAGUUAUUUUGAGUUCAGCUUCAAAAUAAAUUAAUGCCAAUGC